rnacentral:lncRNA from 1 species
CAAAUUAACAGAUUUUUCCGAAUUGCAUGGUAAUAACUGAACAUGAUUUUUGAAAGUGUGAAAUUAGAACUUUAAGGUUAUAGUUUUUGUAUAAGGUAGCUUACCAUAAGUUACGGUCACAUCAACUUUAAAACUUAGUACAUAGGUUAAGUUUGAGAGAACUUUAAAAGAGAGCCCAAAGAUACCAAUGAAAUAGUUGAACUCGUCAAUUGAAAACAAACUGACAACACCAGGGCAAUAAAAAAGAAAAAAACAACCAAUAUACAAACAACUGUAAUAAAAACACAACAUAGAAAACUUAAAGCUAAGCAACUCUAAUCAAAACAAAAACUGGGUGUGAUCACAGGUGCUUGAAAAUUUUAUGCUGCAUUGCCCAUAUUUCACCGUUCACAGUACACAUGGACACAUGAUAGUACAAAAGCAGCAUGGUUCUCAGCGGACA